rnacentral:lncRNA from 1 species
GAUAAUUAUAUAUUGAAGUUUUACAGAUACAAAUUUUGAUAUAGAAAUGGAAAGAAGAAAAGCGCCUGUUUCAAGAAUGAGACGUAGUGUUAAUAAUAACAGUAAUUGUUCAGUGGACAGUUUUGAUCUUCCAAAAACUGUGGUCACCUCAGGAGGUAAAAAAUUGCAAAGAUCUUUACAAAGACUGGAACAGGAGCAAGACGAAUUUUUCGAAUUGUAGCGAAAAAUGAAAUUUUUUCUAGAAAAGAUUGUCCUUUAUUAUUUGGACAAAGUCAGUGCAUCAUUGUCUCUUUACAUGCUCACGACGAGUAUGUAAAUUGUGCUUACUACCAAAGGAAUACAUAGUUAGAUAAAUUACAUAUAUAACUAAAAUAACAAUAACAAAAUUGAUUUUUUCUUCUCAUUAAUGUGGAAAAAUAUUUUACUUAUAUUCUUUGACUCUAUUCCACGAAAAGCAAAGUCAAAACGACGUUAUAAUUGCCGUUUUGGCCUCUAUUUGCAAUCUUGCCAUAUAAAUUAACAUGACAUUUUAUUUUUCGAAAUUUUUUGUCUAUUUGAUUAAAACACUGCAACUUUCCUUAAAGCAUUGCUUUUGGGUUAAAACUGUUUAAAUAUACUGCAUUUUUAGUGUCUUUAAUUCCUGAAAAAUGUUCCUUUUUAUCUAGUAAAUAGAUAUUAAUAAAAAUUGUUUUCAAAUAAUAACGCAGCAGAUAGCAUUCACACAUGAAGUCGGAGUUGAUAGUUAAAUAUGCGUU